rnacentral:tRNA from 1 species
GGGCCAUUAGCUCAGUCGGCAGAGCGCCGCACUCGCAUUGCGGAGGUCGUCGGUUCGAAUCCGACAUGGUCCA